UUUUUUUAAAGUAUAAUAUUUUAUUUUAAAAUAUAGAUGUAUAGAUUGUUAAUUAGCUAAACCAGUAUACUGAUUUUGAAAAGAGGUAUUUUAGUGGCUGGGAGGCAAGAAAAACACAAACUUUAAAUUUAACUCAAUUACUGUCCAUUUUUCUAUUGCAUAUAUUAUUGCAGAGUUGUAAGACUUGGGCAAAACCUGUUUGUUAAGAAUCUGUUUUGUUUUGAAUAUAUGGUUUGAGCAGUAAUGUACAGAAAUAACAUUGGAAGUGUAAAUAUUUUGAGAAAAGACAUUCUGCAGCAGAUGCUAAAAUAGAGUUUAACUCUCUCAAUGAUUGGCUUAAAUUUGUUUGAACAGAACAAGCUAUGUUAAUAGAUUACAGAGAUUUUAUACCUCAGAAGUGGUCUUUCAGAAUAUUAACAGAUCUUAAAACGGCCUGUAGAUUAACUAGAGGGUUAUUUCAUCAGGGUCCUUGCUUUUACACUCAGAAAGCUGCUUUCAUAGUUAAAAUAUCAACUACAAGAAGUCGUUUUUCCAUAAUUCUUACAGAGUUUCAAGACUUAAGUUCAGUAAAAAGCCAAAUAGCUUAGUUAUUACAGUCAUUAAUAAAUUUAUUUAACAUUCGUGCAGCAUCGGAAUGCAAGACAUCUGGUUCUAAUUUCAAUUUUGGCUUAGAAUAAAAGUGCCUCCCCCACAAUACUUUGAUUAUAAACUAUCCUUUUCCUCCUCUCUUUUUUUCUUCUUUGGAAGCUGUUGUCCUUCAUUCUUGCUGGAAGCCACCUGACCACUGCCAGGAAGAAGAAUGCAAAACAUUCCCAGGAGCGGCUGUGACGUCAGCGCCACAUUCCACCUCUCCGUGGUCAGGGCUGUCGGGAAGCUCCAGCCUCCAGCAAAACCACUGGGAGAGAUAGCAGCUGAGGCCUGCACUAAAUCAUAUUAUACUAAAACCUCCUUCAUGUUAUGCUUUAAAAAUGCACAAUGUCUUCCCCCCAAAACAGAGAGAGAGAGAGGGAACAGAGCUGGCUUUAUAAGCCAUAUUUACUGUUUAUCUUCAUAUUUACUUUUUAUCUCCAAAACCACUUUGGGUUUGGGGGAGGAGAAAAACAAGUAAAAAGUGAUUAACAAUAAUCCUCAGCAGACCAAUCACCAUAGGCAGCAGUGUGUGGACAGGGUGAGAUGAACAACAGAAGAGUUUGGGUUUCAGCUAGCACAUCCCCCUCUAUUAAACCAUCCUCAACAACCCAGUCACUAAGCUCCCUCUCAGGAGAAAGACAAAAGUCCCAUUCAAGGAUGCUUUAGAAAAGCUAAGAAAGUAGUGAACGCAGGGAGGUGCAUGGGAGAAGAUGGCAGUGGAGCAACAGGAGGAGCUGAGGGAGUUCGUGGUGGUGACAGGCACUGAGGAGGACCAGGCCUGCUUCUUCCUCGAGUCGGCUAACCUGGGACUUGCAGAUUGCGCUAGCGAGCUUUUAUGAGGACAGAGGGGACGAAGACAUCAUAACCAUUUCAAAGGCAACCCCCAGUUCAGUGUCCAGAGGCACAGCCCCCAGUAAUAACAGAGUGACAGCCUUCAGAGACCUCAUUCAUGACCAAGAUGAGGAUGAGGAAGAGGAGAGGAAGGCCAGAGGUUUUAUACUGGGGUCUCAGAGAGAGGUAGACAGCAGACUCUCGGCCCUCCCAGAAAGAAAAGUCCCAAUGAGCUGGUGGAUGAUCUCUUUAAAGGUGCCAGAGAGCAUGGAGCUGUAGCUGUGGAGGGAGUUUCCGAGAGACCAGUACACCAAGACCAUUUGCAGGAGGUGGCUAUGGCCUUGGGGCAGCACCAAAGGAAGAGUCUGCUUAUGUGGCAGGAUAAAAGAGACAGCAUUCCCACCAAGAUGUUCAUGUAGUACUGAAACUCUACAAGAGUGGAUUCAGCCUGGAUAAUGGAGAACUCAGAAGCUACCAAGACCCAUCCGAUGCCCAGUUUCUGGAGUCUAUCCACAGAGGAGAGGUGCCAGCAGAGCUGUGGAGGCUAGCUCACAGUGGACAAGCGAACUUGGAUGUGGAGGACCAUCGGGAUGAGGACUUUAUGAAGUACAAAGGAGCCUUCACUGAUGAGGGUCAGAAACCGAGCAGCACUGCCCCCCAGGUGUUGAGUACCAUCUCUCCAGUCCAACUGGCAGAAAAUGAAGCCAAAGCCAGCUCUUCCAUCUUAAUCGUCAAAUCAGAGACUACCACAAACAUCCAAAUUUGGCUUGCAGAUGGUGAGAGGCUGGUACAGAAAUUUAACUACAGCCACAGAUCAGCAACAUCCAACUCUUUAUUGUGGAUGCCUGGCCAGCCAUGGCUGCCACCAGCUUUAUCCUCAUGACUACUUUCCCAAACAAAAAGCUGGUUGACGAGAGCUGGACCCUGAAGGAAGCCAACCUGCUCAAUGCUGCCAUCAUGCAGCGGUGAACCUAACUGCCCAGCCAGCUGCCUGGCCUCUCUCCUCUGUUUCCCACGACCAGUGGCCAUGCCCCAUGGGGAUCGUCCCUCCUGCCCCCUUAUGCACACCAGUAGUCCAGUGUGAUGUCUUCUCCAUAGCUCUGGGUUCUUAAGUCUUGGUUGAACAUUUGUUUUCUUCUUAGUUGCAUUUCCUGGGUUUUUGUGACGAUCAAUGGACUUUAAGGAAAAAAAAAAACAAAACCAAAAACGAGUAGUGGAUGUAUUUUCACUAAAAAUAAAUAUUAUAUAGACAUAGAAACUGAAGACUGUAAUUAUUGCAAAAAAUUCCAAACAUACACAUAAUUCUUACACAAUUUUUCAUUUGUAACUUCCUAGACUCUAUCAACAAUUCAACAAGUAUAUCUGUUAACUGUAUGUGCAACUACAUUAUACACAACAUUUUGUUUUUUUUUGCAAAUACUAUACUGAAUAUUUCCCCAUUCUAUUUAAUAUGAUCUUUCACACUUUAUGAAACUCUAAAAC